rnacentral:rRNA from 1 species
UACGGAGGGAGCUAGCGUUGUUCGGAAUUACUGGGCGUAAAGCGCGCGUAGGCGGCUUUGUAAGUUAGAGGUGAAAGCCCGGGGCUCAACCCCGGAACUGCCUUUAAGACUGCAUCGCUUGAAUCCAGGAGAGGUGAGUGGAAUUCCGAGUGUAGAGGUGAAAUUCGUAGAUAUUCGGAAGAACACCAGUGGCGAAGGCGGCUCACUGGACUGGUAUUGACGCGUGAGGUGCGAAAGCGUGGGAGCAAACAGG